UAGGGAAUUUUCUGCAAUGGGCGAAAGCCUGACAGAGCGAGACCGCGUGAGGGAGGAAGGCCUAUGGGUUGUAAACCUCUUUUUUCAAGAAAGAAGAUCUGACGGUACUUGAAGAAUAAGCAUCGGCUAACUCUGUGCCAGCAGCCGCGGCAAUACAGAGGAUGCAAGUGUUAUCCGGAAUUAUUGGGCGUAAAGCGUUCGCAGAUUGAUAUAUAAGUCUUUCGUAAAAGAAUUGGGCUCAACCCAGUAAUCGCGAAAGAUACUAUAUAUCUAGAGUAUAAUAGAGGCAAAGGGAAUUUUCAGUGGAGCGAUGAAAUGUGUAGAUAUUGGAAGGAACACCAAUGGCGAAGGCACUUUGCUGGGUUAUACUGACAUUAAUGAACGAAAGUUGGGGGAGCAAACAG
rnacentral:rRNA from 1 species